AAUACAAGUUUCUGUGUAUUCAUUUGGGCCCUAACUCGGGCAGGCAGCUGGCUUAAAGCUCACACGUGGUGGUGGGGCUCAGGCGGCUUUUAGUAGAAAGAUUUAUCGUAACACCAGUGUGAUAGUGUAGGCACUGGAUCACUGUACCCAUGUGGUAAACAAGGUAGAGACAAGGCAAUCUCUGGCUCAUGUGCCCCACUAGCCAUGUGUACACACACACACACACACACACACACACACACACACACACACACACACACCAUUAUCUUUAUUGCUAUUGUUUGAAAAUUAGUGACAUUCAUGUGAAUAGUUUGUCCACAUAAUUUACAUAUGUUUUCAAAACUAUCAUCAAAACAUACUCUAUGUCAAUUUCAACAUCAGCUCAACUGUGCUCUUAAGUCCUAUACUCUCCAACUCUGCCAUGUUCCCUCCCUGAGAUCCUGGACUCAGGAGAAAAAAAGGUGACCAAGCAUGACUAACCUCUCCCCUAACCCACACAUUUAUCACAUAUUAAAUUAUCUGAAGUUAUAGCACUGUGGAAUAUUAGUAUAAGACGUGUUGCAUUUGUUUAGGUUGUGGGGCAUUUGUUUAAUGAUGCUAAGAUUUGUUGCCUUCUUUUAUGUUGCAUUUGUUUAGGUUGUGGGACAUUUGUUUAAUGAUGCUAAGAUUUGUUGCCUUCUUUAAUGUAGCAUUUGUUUAACUCUGUGAAGCUGUGUUACUUUGCCUGCCUCAAACAGCUGACUGGUCCAAUAAGCUGAAUGGCCAAUGGCUAGGCAGGAGAGGGACUGGCGGGGCUGCCAAGGAGAGAGAGUAAAUAGUAGGAGUAAAAGAGAAGAGGGGGAGUCAGAAAAGGAGGAGAGGAGGAUGCCAGGGGCCAGCCACACAGCAACACAGCCAACCAUGGAGCAAGAAAGAAAGUAAGAUGUAUAGAAUAAAGAAAGGUAAAAGCCCUGAGGCAAAAGGUAGAUGGGAUAAUUUAAGAAACAUUGUCUAGAAACAAGCCAAGCUAAGGCUGGGAUUUCAUUAGUAAAAAUAAGUCUCUGGGUAUUUAUUUGGAAGCAAAGAGCAAAGAGUUAUAAAACAACAACAACAUUUUGGUGCUCAAUGUGGGGCCAUAUUUCAAUGUAGAAUAUGAGAAAACUGAAAAUAAAAAAAAAAUAUGGCUCUUUUAAGAAGUUCUGGGUCACAGCAAAGCACUUAAACAGCCCUUUUUCAUGCAAAAUAGAAACAAAAAAACUAAGUAAAAAUCACCUGCCAUAGUGCAGGGCCCUGGCAUUCCAGAACUGGGGGGAGUUGAAUGCAGUUCUCGGUCCAAUAUACCUCUGACCACGUGCAUGAGCUUUAGGCUGGGCUUUCACAACCAGACAAGUGGAUGGAGCUAGCCACCAAAGCUGCAGAAGAGGUCUUGGCAUAAUCGCUUAAAGGCUCAUGUGGUCCAAAAGGCUAAAAGAUAGCAGUAUAAGAGGUCGGGAUGGAAAGACCUCUAAACAAGUUAUAGUGUGUUUAACAAUGUACAUGGUCUUAAGAAAAGAGGAAGGGUAUAGACAGCUAUAAAAAUAGUUUAAAAAUAAUAAAGUCUUUAAAGAGAGAGUAAAAUAAUAUAAAAGAAAAAAAUCCAUGUAAGAUGGGAAAUACUCUGGGAGUCUGGAUCUUGUAUGUUAUUGUGUUGAUUUUGAAUGUUUUUGAUUGCUGAUAAGCAAAUGACAGCUGUUGAGAGACAUGGGAUUGAAAGAGCAGCAGCUGAAAUAAGCCAGCCUAGACAUUUUAAGAAUGCCUUAACUUUCAAUGGAACUCAAAAAUUUCAUUGCUUUGGAGAAGAGGUUUUGCUUUUAAUUCCACAGGAAAUGAGAGGAUUCCUUCAAGGUUGAAAUGGAUGAGGUUUGACUCGGGGAGACCUCCUGAAUCUUGACAGAUGAUAUAUAUCAACAAAUAUUACAGCUGGUCUUCCGAGGACUCGGCCAUUACCUCAAUUUUCUAGGAACUUCUAAAGAUGCCUUUGCCUACAGACAAGAGGAAGCAAUCUAGAGAAAACAAUGCCAACAUUCCCAAGUGUUGGGACUCUGGAAGAACUUGCAUUUGCAAGACACAUCCUCCCCCUUGGCAGGAGGCUGGGAACCUGAAAGAAGACAUUGCGUUCACUCUGCUCACGAGAUCCUGGCUUGCUCCUACUCAGGGACACACCAGCAAGUCAAGCCUUUGAUUAUUAAUCACCAAGGCCAGUUUUCCAAGGACUUUACAUAGCUGUGUCAAUCUGAGUGCUGUCAGGAUGGUUCUAAGGUCACAGCAGAAGACAGCAGAAGGCACACAGACUUUCCGGUGCUGGCCACACUGACCCCCUGCAGACUCCUCCAGCUCCAGCAGCCACUAACACUGGUGCCCUUGUCACAGGUGACGAACAUAUGCUCUGUGCUAUCAGAAGCCACGUUCAGAUCAGGGCGUGGUCUUGGUGGGGACCAUUUUGGGAGUCGUCAUCACUGUGCACACACACAUGUCCACCCUUGAAGUUUCCCAUGUAAUCUCAUGAAUAUCCUCUCUUUUCCUAACUUUCCCUCCCCACCCCCGAGUCCCCGGCUACCACACAAAUUUGUAUUGGUUCCUGUUUCCCACAGCAUCAGCAUAACCAGGUAUCUUUCUCUUAGUCAUGUGCAUCUAAGUUUCCCAUGUCCCCGUGGCUUGGGUGCCCAUUUCUUCUGAGCACUGAACACGGCUGCUCCAUCUGAAGGGACCACAGUUUCUUUAUCCAUCCACCUACCGAGAGGCAUUCUUGCUGCUUCUAAAUUGGGCAAUUAUGAAUAAACCUGCUAGAAAGAUCCAUAUGCAGGUUUUUACAUGGACAUCCUUCUUCAGGUCUUCUGGGUAAAUAGCACACAGCAUGCUUGCUGGGCUGUACAGUGAGAGCAGCCUGCCCUCCACAACGGCUACACCAUUUUAUCUUCUCAUUGGCUCAUGCUCAGGGACAUGUUUCUGGUAGAUAAAGAUGAGCUCAAAAUCCACUGCAGGGAUUCUCAGCCAGCAACAGCAGCAUCGCCCUAGAGCCUGUGAGUCCUGAGCAUACCCUUUGCCUUUCUUAUCUUGUCUCAAGUGUUAAUGCUCAAGAAAGAACACUUUAUGUUAAACACUCCUGGAAAACAGCAGUUGUUAGUUGUUAUUACUAUUAGCAUUUAAAGGGCCUAAGUGACUGAAAGAAAUUUUAUUCUACACUCAGGAAAGUCAGGAAAGUCCCUCUGCUAAAUAUGAACAAAGCUUGUGUGCUCCCUAGGGCCACUCAGCACCAUGAAAAAGACCAGGCCCUGUUUGCAGUGGAAGCCCAUGAAACUCCAUCCCUGGGCAUACACUUGAGUCACUAAGUAAAUCAGAGCCUAUUGAUAUUAUCCUUACUGAUUAGCCAUUUGAACUGAGUUAUUAAUUGCAGCUCAAACAUCCUAAUUCAUUUGUAAAAUCUCUGUCUAUUCACUUUUGCUUGCUUUAAAUCUACCUUGUCUCCCCAACAGUGUUAACUGAAACAGUGAAUAAAAUAAACCUCAGUUCCCUUCA